rfam:Myotis lucifugus cont2.2518, whole genome shotgun sequence.
AAGAUUAUACUUUCAGGGAUCAUUUCUAUAGUUCGUUACUAGAGAAGUUUCUCUGAUCGUGUAGAGCACCCGAAACCACCAGGAGGAGGCGCAGGUUCUCUCCUGAGCAUGAAGCUGGCUCUUGGUGUUGCUUAUGCAACUGCCACUUGCCAUUGAUGAUCGUUCUUGUCUUCCUUUGGGAGGGCAAGAGGGAGAGGACGCAGUCUGAGUGGU